rnacentral:rRNA from 1 species
UAUGGUAUGUGCCAGCCGCCGCGGUAAAACAUAGGGGGCAAGCGUUGUCCGGAAUCACUGGGCGUAAAGGGCGCGUAGGUGGUCUGUUAAGUCAGAUGUGAAAUGUAAGGGCUCAACCCUUAACGUGCAUCUGAUACUGGCAGACUUGAGUGCGGAAGAGGCAAGUGGAAUUCCUAGUGUAGCGGUGAAAUGCGUAGAUAUUAGGAGGAACACCAGUGGCGAAGGCGACUUGCUGGGCCGUAACUGACGCUGAGGCGCGAAAGCGUGGGGAGCAAACAGG